CAAAAGCGUAUAUUUAAGUUGCUGCAGUUAAAAAGCUCGUAGUUGGAUUUCGGGUGGGAAUGGCCGGUCCGCCGUUUCGGUGUGCACUUGCUACGCCCACCUUGCUGCCGGGGACGUGCUCUUGAGUUCACGCUCGGGACACGGAGUCGGCGAGGUUACUUUGAGUAAAUUAGAGUGUUCAAAGCAGGCCUACGCUCUGAAUACAUUAGCAUGGAAUAACACGAUAGGACUCUGGCCUAUCUUGUUGGUCUGUAGGACCGGAGUAAUGAUUAAGAGGGACAGUCGGGGGCAUUCGUAUUUCAUUGUCAGAGGUGAAAUUCUUGGAUUUAUGAAAGACGAACUACUGCGAAAGCAUUUGCCAAGGAUGUUUUCAUUAA
rnacentral:rRNA from 1 species